rnacentral:rRNA from 1 species
CCUACGGGAGGCAGCAGUGAGGAAUAUUGGUCAAUGGACGGAAGUCUGAACCAGCCAUGCCGCGUGCAGGAAGACGGCUCUAUGAGUUGUAAACUGCUUUUGUAAAAGGGUAAACCUGAAUACGUGUAUUCAGCUGAAAGUACUGUACGACUAAGGAUCGGCUAACUCCGUGCCAGCAGCCGCGGUAAUACGGAGGAUCCAAGCGUUAUCCGGAUUUAUUGGGUUUAAAGGGUGCGUAGGCGGAUUGAUAAGUUAGAGGUGAAAUGUCCGGGCUUAACUCGGGAACUGCCUCUAAUACUGGUGGUCUAGAGAGUAGAUGCGGUAGGCGGAAUGUGUGGUGUAGCGGUGAAAUGCUUAGAGAUCAUACAGAACACCGAUUGCGAAGGCAGCUUACCAAUCUAUAUCUGACGUUGAGGCACGAAAGCGUGGGGAGCAAACAGGAGUAGAUACCCCUGUAGUC